UACGAAGGGGGCUAGCGUUGCUCGGAAUUACUGGGCGUAAAGGGCGCGUAGGCGGAUAGUUAAGUUGGGGGUGAAAGCCCGGGGCUCAACCUCGGAAUUGCCUUCAAUACUGGCUAUCUUGAGUAUGGGAGAGGUGUGCGGAACUCCGAGUGUAGAGGUGAAAUUCGUAGAUAUUCGGAAGAACACCAGUGGCGAAGGCGGCACACUGGCCCAUUACUGACGCUGAGGCUCGAAAGCGUGGGGAGCAAACAGG
rnacentral:rRNA from 1 species